GCCAACGAGUGGCGGACGGGUGAGUAACACGUAGGUAACCUGCCCAGAAGCGGGGGACAACAUUUGGAAACAGAUGCUAAUACCGCAUAACAACGUUGUUCGCAUGAACAACGCUUAAAAGAUGGCUUCUCGCUAUCACUUCUGGAUGGACCUGCGGUGCAUUAGCUUGUUGGUGGGGUAACGGCCUACCAAGGCGAUGAUGCAUAGCCGAGUUGAGAGACUGAUCGGCCACAAUGGGACUGAGACACGGCCCAUACUCCUACGGGAGGCAGCAGUAGGGAAUCUUCCACAAUGGGCGCAAGCCUGAUGGAGCAACACCGCGUGAGUGAAGAAGGGUUUCGGCUCGUAAAGCUCUGUUGUUAAAGAAGAACACGUAUGAGAGUAACUGUUCAUACGUUGACGGUAUUUAACCAGAAAGUCACGGCUAACUACGUGCCAGCAGCCGCGGUAAUACGUAGGUGGCAAGCGUUAUCCGGAUUUAUUGGGCGUAAAGAGAGUGCAGGCGGUUUUCUAAGUCUGAUGUGAAAGCCUUCGGCUUAACCGGAGAAGUGCAUCGGAAACUGGAUAACUUGAGUGCAG
rnacentral:rRNA from 2 species